UCUACAGGGAGGAAGCAGGCUGAAAAAACAGAUGCAAACACAGGUCAUCUCUUAUGAGCAAGACAGAACUGAGAGCUCAGAGGCACAGCAAAGGGCCACGGAGAGGCAUUCCCAUGAUUAGGACUAAGUCUUCCUCAAAGAACUAGCAGCCUGCAGCAGGCUGCCUUUCAGAAUUGCUAUGGACUAAUGUGUCUCCCAUUUUCCAUUCUGAAUGAGAGUCUUGAGCAGGUCAGCAGAAUGUUGGCUCUGUGGGUGGUGGUAGAUAACUUGGCUCUUCAGUUCUCAAUCUUUGUAUUGAGAGGAAUUGUACUCCAAGGGCUAAACUGUAGAAACCACAGCCCAGGCUCCUGUCCCAUCUGCACCUGAUGAAGAUGUAAGAUCUCAGACUCCAGCCUGAACUGGAUGCCAUCAUCACUGAGGCUUGGCACGCAGAUACAGGGUAGGGAAAGGAAGGUUAUGGGCCAACCUUACUGACUUGCUCCCAGUGAACAGAAUAUGGUGAAGGUGAUGCUGUAUGAAUUCCAAGGCUGGUUGGCCGGGAUAGGCCAGGUGUUCCAGCUGCCCCCCCCAACUAAAGUCCCAGCCAGGGCCUGGCGCCAACAAUCGGACAUGUGAGUGAACUAGCCUCCAAAUGACUCCAGCCUCAGCCUCCGAGCUGUCCCAGCUAAAGCUGAAGGAAGCAGAGACAAGCUGUCCUGGCCACACUUUCCUGACGGAGGUUUGUGAAUAAGAUAAUGUUAUUUAAGCUACUGAAGCUGGGAGUUUAUUAGGGUAAAACAGAUAAACAGAAAAGUGGUGAAAAAAGGGAUAAUAUGAAAACUAACUUAUUUGUGGUGAACUGAUUUUCAUCAAGGGUGCCAAACAGUAGAAAUGAGUCCCCUUUAAAAUGGGUUAUAAUAAAUGUGGAGAUUAAUUUAUUAAUGGUAAACAAUGCUAAUGAGAAGAAGCAGAUGACUAGAAGACGUAAGAAGUUUUUCUAGGGUUCCUUUCAAUUACAAAUUCUUACCCCUAGGCAUAUAUGCCUCUUCAGAACUUUUCCUCAGGUUAGGGGAUAGGGAAGACUGGUAAGCAAGGAGAGACAUAGGAUUUAAAGAAUAACAACUGAAAUACUUUAGUAGCCAAUAAUGAGGCAUUUUAUCCGAUUUCGAUUAACUGAAAUUCUAAUAGACAGUAUGGAGUAUUUAUUAGUCAGUCUAGCACUCAAUCUUCAUUUUACUUUCCUCAGUGAGGAAAUAAAGAGAACAUUCAGGAAUCAUUUUUAAUCUCAGUAGUAAAAUAAAUGCAGUGUCCUUUGGACUAUUUAAGUACACUUUCUCCUUUAUCUUACCUCAAGGCUGUCAGUAUGGGGAGGUAAGACCAUCUCAUCUUUAUGUUGCACCAUAGUACUUCUCCCUAUCAUACAAUUUAGCUUUGAAAUUCUGAUUCAGUCAAUUGUUUAUUCAAUGACUUGGUUGAAUAGUUACCUCACUUUUAAGAGUUGUACUCUUGACGUUUUUUUUUCUUGGGAUAGGAAGAAAUAGGAUUAUGUCAAUUAUGCAUUGAGCUAUAAAGUACAGCUAUCCAUCUCUUUCGAUUUAAGUAAAAGGAGGUGGAUACAGAGAACUGAGGUUUCUGAGAAUAGAGGAUCAGCACCAAGAACAAGUUUGGCCUCAGGAUUACAUACAAGAACCAGGUCAAAAGAAGAUUUAAUUGUGAAUAGAAAGAUGACAGAUUAGCAAGACUUCCAAAGAGAAAGCCAAAAGCCCAGACUUCAUCUCUUCCUUCCUAGAUGGUGAAAUCUAUGGAUCAGUCUAUGCGCUAUAGUGAGUCACUGAAACAUAAUGAACUACACAGACUGAGUCAGCAGAUCCUGUGAGCCAGACAUGCAAAUGGGAGUGAGGUGGAGGAACACUGGUGAGAGACUAAAGGUGUGAAUGGAGAAAAGAAAGGGUAUGGGCUCUACCUUUGUUGUCAGCCUGACUUCCCAUCAUGGCACGGUCAGCAGGGCACAAGCUGGACAAAGGCUCUCUGAAGCUAAAAGUGUCUGCAUGAGCUGAGAGAAGCAAGUGGUACUAUUCAAGAUGACCGUGAAAGAGUCCUCACAAUAUUUGAUUUGGUAUUGGCAUAAGGAUAGACAUGCAGCAAUCGUAUUAGAAUUGGGGAUACAAAAUAAACUCUGGUGAACUGAUUUUCAACAAGGGUGCCAAAAGGUUAAAUGGGUCAAGAAUAAUCUUUUUAACCCAUGGUACUGGGGCCACUGAAUAUCCACAUACAGAAGAAUAAAAUCAGACCUCUACUUCAUAGCAUAUAUACAAAGUUAACUCAACAUGUAAGCGCAAAAAUUAUAAAACUCAUAGGAAAAAACAAAGAUGUGUAUCUUUGUGACUGGAUUUGGCAAUGGUUUCUUGGAGAAAAGCAGAUUAACUGGAUUCAUCAGGACAGUGAAAAGGCAAGCUAUAGAAUAGGAGAAAAUACUUGAAAACCCUUUAUCUGGUAAUGGAUCUGUAUCUAUAAUAUAGAAAUAACUCUUGCAAUACACUUAGAAAAGACAGUCCAAUAUUAAAAUAGGCAAAGGAAUCAAACAGCCAGUUCUUCAAAGAAGAUACCUGAAUGGAUAAUAAGCAUAGGAAAAGAUGCUCAAAAACAUUAUUCAUCAGAAAAAUGCAAAUCAAAACCACAGCGAGAUGCCAUUUCACACCCACUAUAGGAUGGCUACAAUAAAAAACACAGAUGAUGACAGAUGUUGUUAAGAAUGUAGAAAAGCAUCAGAACCCUCAAGCACCACUUGGGAAAGAGUAAAUUAAGAAUCUUACUUAAAUUCCUGCCUUUUACUAUGCUGUUUACAGCUGGGCCUGCAUGCUAAAUUAGUUGCCUGGGUUGCAAGUUAUUUGAUUAGCGCUGAAGGUGAAAAAGACCAGCAGAUAGGUAAAGUUAAAAAAUAAAUUGGGCCCGCAUAAUUAACACAAUAAAGACAUGGGCUAUGCUGAGGUACCCUCCUUUACCUGGGGAAUAUUCAAACAUUCCAGGCCAAGUUGUUCCUGGCUUUUUGAGCGUUAACUGAUUAACUCUGGGUCUUUUUCAGUGGGCUUUUUCCUGGCCUUACUCUUUUUCCACCUCACUCAUAUCUAUUUUUCUGACUAACAGCUGGAUGUAGAUAAUUUUCUUAAUUCUCUCUGUUUGGAUACAUACUAUACAUAAUCUCAAUCUUUCCACAUUUUUACAGAAUAUCUAAAGGGGAAAGGAAAUGAGGGAAGUAUCUCAUUUCAACUGGUUUAUAUAAUGACCUUUUGUACAAUUAACCUGAAAUCCACAAAAUAAAUGUAUUCUACAUCUGCAACAGUGAAGGUAACAAAAAUUACAAUUUUCUGAAACAUUCCAUUAAACAUUAUGAUGUGAUUUUAUUUGGCUUGCCUCAUCAUGGCAAAAGAGAGAUCUGUAAAAAAAACAAUGGUUGGUACUAAAAAACAAAGUCUCAACUGAUGUGAAGAGUGAUGUGUAAUUUUGUUUUCCUAAGGAUAAAUAUUGUAAGAAAAAAUGGGUAAUAUAAAUGGCAGAACUAAAGUCAGAGUUUAAGAAAUAAGUGCAUUGUAAAGACAGAAUUGUAAUAAAUUUGUUGUAAUGAAAAUAUAAAA